AUUCGAUUAUCGAUUUAAAACAUUACAAUGAACUAAUUUGAUCGUCAAUUUAAAAUAUUUACACUAUUAGAUAGCACAAAAUCUUAUGUUAUACUUAAUGAAAGUAUAGAAACUUGAAGUGUUAGUGAAUUUAUUGUUUUGAUGCGAUAUGCAUUCUACGAAACUAGUUUCAACGAUCCAACCAUCAAACUUGUUUUUAUAUGCUUCGAGAUCGCAUACGCCAAAAAUCGCAAAAAAAAAACAUUAAGAGAUUAUGUAACGGGACAAACCUUUUCGAUGGUUAUAAACGAAAAAUCACGAUUUAACGGUAAUUUUAACUCCGAUUUUGAUGAUUUUUUACAGCUACACACCUUGAUCCUAUAUGAAUACAAUGAACUAAUUCGAUCAUCAAUUUAAAAUAUUUAUACUAUUGGAUACCACAAAAUCUUAUGUUAUACAUAAUGAAAGUAUACAUUAACUCCAAGUGUUAGUGGAUCUAUUCUUUUGAUGUGAUACACAUUGUA
rnacentral:lncRNA from 1 species